GGAAAACUUGGGAAAUUAUUGGAUUUUCUUUGGCAGAAAAACCAUUUGGUAAUGUUUUUAAGUUUUGUAGGAUAGGAAAAUCAGAUCUCAACCAAAUUUCAGCUUUCUCAUGAGAGAAUAAGGAGAAUUAUUUUACUGCCUUAACUUAUUAUAACUCCUACCUGGCUCUGCUGUUGACUAUAUCCUAUCCUAAUGUGAAUGAAUUACUUAAUUUUGUCUAGUGAACUACUGUUACAAUUACUACUAAAAUAUUGCUAAAGAUACAGAUUCUCUAUGUUCACUGUACUAAAAAUCAUUGCUUUCACACUGGAUAUUAUAUUUUAAAAUCAUAAGUAUGGAUACACAUCUUUCUAAGGCCAUUUCAUUGUCUGGGAGCCCUCAAAGUUCCACUGCAUCCCUGUAUUUUAAAUGUUUAUUGUCUACUUUAAAUAUGUUUUAUUUUCAAAAAUGGAAUCUAGAGAGAGUAAAAAAUAUCCUAUUCUAAUUUCUACUGAGCUUCCAUGGUGAAGUUUAGGAAAAUUACCUAAUGACACAGAAAGUAAUUAGGUGUCCAUAGAAAUGGCUCAGUUAGCUAUGUCAGGAACUCACUUGCUCAUGUAUUUCAUCUCUUGGUUGCUAAAAAGUUGUGAGAGCCCUCUCUCACAAUGGUCCCUGCUCUUUUAAUUUCAAUUCCAGUUAGAUAUGGAGUUUGUGAUACUGUAAAAGAUCUUUCUUUUUUUUUUCCUGUUCGACAAAGGGUUUUUACUAAACUGAGACAACAUCGCCACAGGAGUUAGAAUAAAAGCUAGAUUGCAGUUUCACAGCUGAUUUUUCUGAAGUGCUCUAAAAUCCACGUUCUUACUUUUUAUUGUCUUGAAAAUUCUUGUGCUAACUCCUAGGUAAGGAAAGUGGGAAAAGUUAUGUAAAUGAAUGGAUGGCUCCAUACAGUUUACCCUGUCAAAACUUCAGUUUUAACUUUGCACACACUGGGCAUCCAAUUACAUCUCUGAAAUCAUUUGCUGAGGACGAAUCUCAGCUAGUGUCGCUUACUAGCUAUCCAUUUGGAGCCAACUGGCAAGUGAGAGAAGUCAUCUGUGCCUGUGAUGUUCUUCUGUGUGACACAUAAAGACAAAUUGGAAAGACAAGAAAAACCUGAAAAAAAAGAAAGGCAUACAGUUACACACAAGGAGAAACAUGAAAAGCCAGAAAAACCUGAAAAGAAAGCACCUUCUAAAGGUAAUGCUGAUUAUUAUUAGCUGUAGUACAGUUUUAGAAUUUUAGUGCUUUUUCAGUUUGGGAGAAUGUGGAGAUGAGUAUUUAAAGCAUAUAGCUCUUCUAGUCCGUGCUGUAUAUUCUGUGGUCCCUCUCACUUUUUCUUGAGCAGGUCUUAAUCAGCUCCUGACCAAAAUCUUGCACAGCACAUAUUUCUUGCUUAGUUCACUUGUUUCAAUGCACAGAGGUAGUUAUGAAUCAUUCUUCUGCAGCUAAAGGAAUGAGCCUAUGACUAUAAUA
rnacentral:lncRNA from 1 species